GAUGAAGAACGUAGCGAAAUGCGAUAAGUAGUGUGAAUUGCAGAAUUCAGUGAAUCAUCGAAUCUUUGAACGCACAUUGCGCCCCUUGGUAUUCCAUGGGGCAUGCCUGUUCGAGCGUCAUUUGUACCUCAAGCUCUGCUUGGUGUUGGGUGAUUGUCUAUCUUUGUAGACUCGCCUUAAAGUCAUUGGCAGCCGGCAUAUUGGCCUGGGAGCGCAGCACAAGUCGCGCUUCUUGUCAUGAAUGUUGGCGUCCAGUAAGUCUACAUAUUUUGCUCUUGACCUCGGAUCAGGUAGGGAUACCCGCUGAACUUAAGCAUAUCAAUAAGCGGAGGA
rnacentral:misc_RNA from 1 species